rnacentral:rRNA from 1 species
ACGUUAAGUACGGUAAUUACGUGGGACGUAAAGCGCAUGCAGGUUGGUUUAGUUAAGUCAGAUGUAGAAACGGCCCGGGGCUACAACCGUACGGUAAUUGCUAUUUAGAAACGUGGACAAACUAGAGUACUGUAGGAGGGGGUAGAAUUUCAGGUGUAGCGGUGAAAUGCGUAGAGAUCUGAAGGAAUACCGGUGGCGAAGGCGGCCCCCUGGACAGAUACUGACACUCAGAUGCGAAAGCGUGGGGAGCAAACAGGAUUAGAUACCCUGGUAG